AAAAAGCACUGCUGUGACCGCCUGAAGCAAGAAGAGAGAGCGAGAGAAAAGAGGGGGCUURGAAUGACAGGCUGAUCCUUCAUUUACAGGAAGCUCGAGCACGAGGGAGUCGCUCCGCUUUUGAUGUUGAAAAUGUGUGUGUCGAAACAUCCUUUGUGCUCGCGACAGAACGACGUGAGCGAAGCUACAAGUUGGUUUCCGAGCUGCACGAGGAGUAAAACCAACGCGGCGGGUUGCUGGAUCGCAGGCUCCCAGCGUGCGUGUGUACGUGCGCACGCAUCGGCUCGGAUGCGUGUGUGACGGCGCGCGCUGAAGUAGCCGUUAAAAAUGCUAAUUUGCCGCGGCGUUCAUAUUCCCAUACGGAGCCUCAUGCUGUUUGCAUGGUAAAUAAGCACGCUGAUUAUUCCACGUACAAUAUGUUUUCAUGAGAAAUGCAUGCGUGCGUGCAGGCAGGGAGGCUGCUUGUUGGCAGAUGAACUGUAAAAGCUCUGAGGUCUUUGUAUCGGCCCACAUCUGACGUUAACCGCAGCUUGAAAUGUUAAUCUGGGAUUUUGGAUACAAACACAUGAACAAUAAACUAGAGUAUUUGUUUUUAAAAUA